rnacentral:rRNA from 1 species
GGGUGAGUAACACGUAUGCAACCUGCCCCUGUCAGGGGGACAACCCGCCGAAAGGCGGGCUAAACCCGCGUACAUGCCACCGGGGCAUCCCGGAGGCAGGAAAGGCUUCGGCCGGACAGGGAUGGGCAUGCGGCGCAUUAGGCAGUAGGCGGGGUAACGGCCCACCUAACCGACGAUGCGUAGGGGUUCUGAGAGGAAGGUCCCCCACACUGGUACUGAGACACGGACCAGACUCCUACGGGAGGCAGCAGUGAGGAAUAUUGGUCAAUGGUCGGGAGACUGAACCAGCCAAGCCGCGUGAGGGAGGAAGGUACAGAGUAUCGUAAACCUCUUUUGUCAGGGAACAAAGACUGGGACGCGUCCCCGGAUGAGUGUACCUGAAGAAAAAGCAUCGGCUAACUCCGUGCCAGCAGCCGCAGUAAUACGGAGGAUGCGAGCGUUAUCCGGAUUUAUUGGGUUUAAAGGGUGCGCAGGCGGUCUGUUAAGUCAGCGGUCAAAGCCCGGGGCUCAACCCCGGCCCGCCGUUGAAACUGGCAGUCUCGAGUUGGAGAGAAGUAUGCGGAAUGCGCGGUGUAGCGGUGAAAUGCAUAGAUAUCGCGCAGAACUCCGAUUGCGAAGGCAGCAUGCCGGCUCCACACUGACGCUGAGGCACGAAAGCGUGGGUAUCGAACGGGAUUAGAUACCCUGGUAGUCCGCGCAGUAAACGAUG